AAACUCGGUCCAAAAGUGACCAAGUUCAGAUAGACUGAACACCCUAAAAAUAGGAUUUCCUAAUGAAAGCAACUUCAGCUUUGUCUCCUCCGCUCCCACCACCAAAAUGUCGCUUCGCACCCUUCAUAACAAAGACCUUCACCAGCUCGUCCUCUGGGUGAUCAAUAUUCUUCACCGGUGUGUAUUUCAGUGGAGGUUUAAGAGUUUGUGAUAAACUCGAAAAGGGGUUAGAACUGGGUAUUUAAGUUUUGUAGCUCACAAGUCCCCCUUGCAUGCUGUUACAUUCAAUGUAUUGAUCUGAUGCCAUUUGGACUGCAUUGUUUCAUGAUGGAGAUACAAGUAUUCAAGAUCAUCAACCGGUACUCAGUUGAUCCAAUCAUAUUUCAGCUAGCUUUGAUACAGGUGUUCAAGAUUAUCAAGCUUCGUUAAGAUCACUCUAUACUCCAUCUAGCUUUUGGUUAGCCUCCUUGCAUUCCUGAGGACUUCACAUUUACUUUCUAGUUACUAGUUUUUGAGAUGUCGUGCGUCUUGUCCCGACAUCCUUCGUUAAUAGUACGAGGUGUCUCUUAGCAUUUAUUUUCUUGUAAGUUUUUUAACAAACUAUAUUAUUAUUGAGUAUUUUCCAGUCUUUAUUAAAUCAGUAUU